GGAAUUUUUCCAAUCAUAAAUACUGAUAGUAAGAAGACUGGAAUAGAAAAUAGCGUAUUGAUUUUCAGGAUAUAGCUUCUAAGUUAACAAUCAGAUAUUUUAACUAGUUAGAGUGAUGCUUGAAAUAAAUAAUUUAAAAUAAAAAUAAGCAAAAAUUUUGAAAAAAUAAAGAAAAUAAAUAUAAUUGUUACUUUGGUCUUUGCAAUCAGUUUCAGUUGCUCUGGUUUGCAUAUCCUCCUACAUAUUUUGUAAUAUAAAAAUCACAAAACUUUAAAACAUGUUAACCAUAAAAAAAAAAACAAUUUUCAGUAACUAUCAGAUAGAUAAACAAAACAUUAAUAGUUACAAUGUUACAUAUAUUGCAUAUUUGACAUAUCUAUUUUUCUAAUAGUUACAAGGAUGAUCAGUAGGUGCACAAUCUUUUUAGAGCAUAUUUCACAC
rnacentral:lncRNA from 1 species